AUAUGCAUUUGAACCUGGGCAUCUAGGGUGCAGGAGAGGAAAGUGGAAUCCCUAGUGUAGCGGUGAAAUGCGUAGAGAUUAGGAAGACCACCAGUGGCGAAGGCGACUUUCUGGACUGUAACUGACCCUGAGAUACGAAAGCGUGGGUAGCAAACAGGAUUAGAUCCCCUGGUAGUCCACGCCGUAAACGAUGAAUACUAGGUGUCGGGGGGUACCACCCUCGGUGCCGCAGCAAACGCAUUAAGUAUUCCGCCUGGGGAGUACGGUCGCAAGAUUAAAACUCAAAGGAAUUGACGGGGACCCGCACAAGCAGCGGAGCAUGUGGUUUAAUUCGAAGCAACGCGAAGAACCUUACCUAGACUUGACAUCUCCUGAAUUACUCUUAAUCGAGGAAGUCCCUUCGGGGACAGGAAGACAGGUGGUGCAUGGUUGUCGUCAGCUCGUGUCGUGAGAUGUUGGGUUAAGUCCCGCAACGAGCGCAACCCUUAUUGUUAGUUGCUACUAUUAAGUUAAGCACUCUAACGAGACUGCCGCGGUUAACGUGGAGGAAGGUGGGGAUGACGUCAAAUCAUCAUGCCCCUUAUGUCUAGGGCUACACACGUGCUACAAUGGCUGGUACAACGAGCAGCAAACCCG
rnacentral:rRNA from 1 species